GAUGAACGCUAGCUACAGGCUUAACACAUGCAAGUCGAGGGGUAGCAGGGUAGCAAUACCGCUGACGACCGGCGCACGGGUGAGUAACACGUAUCCAACCUUCCCAUAACUCUGGGAUAGCCUUUCGAAAGAAAGAUUAAUACCGGAUGGUACUUUUUCAAGGCAUCUUGAGAAAGUUAAAGAUUUAUUGGUUAUGGAUGGGGAUGCGUUCCAUUAGAUAGUUGGUGAGGUAACGGCUCACCAAGUCUUCGAUGGAUAGGGGUUCUGAGAGGAAGGUCCCCCACAUUGGUACUGAGACACGGACCAAACUCCUACGGGAGGCAGCAGUGAGGAAUAUUGGUCAAUGGGCGAGAGCCUGAACCAGCCAAGUAGCGUGAAGGAAGACGGCCCUACGGGUUGUAAACUUCUUUUGUAAGGGAAUAAAUAGUCUUACGUGCUAAGACGUUGCAGGUACCUUACGAAUAAGGAUCGGCUAACUCCGUGCCAGCAGCCGCGGUAAACUACUCGUA
rnacentral:rRNA from 1 species